UCGGGAAUUUUGGGCAAUGGGCGAAAGCCUGACCCAGCAACGCCGCGUGAAGGAUGAAGUAUUUCGGUAUGUAAACUUCGUAAGAAUAGGAAGAAUAAAUGACGGUACUAUUUGUAAGGUCCGGCUAACUACGUGCCAGCAGCCGCGGUAAUACGUAGGGUGCAAGCGUUAAUCGGAAUUACUGGGCGUAAAGCGUGCGCAGGCGGUUAUGCAAGACAGAUGUGAAAUCCCCGGGCUCAACCUGGGAAUUGCAUUUGAGACUGCACGGCUAGAGUGUGUCAGAGGGGGGUAGAAUUCCACGUGUAGCAGUGAAAUGCGUAGAUAUGUGGAGGAAUACCGAUGGCGAAGGCAGCCCCCUGGGAUAACACUGACGCUCAUGCACGAAAGCGUGGGGAGCAAACAGGAUUAGAUACCCAUGUAGUCCCUGAGCGGGCUGGCAAGGCGCAU
rnacentral:rRNA from 1 species